UCCGGUGUGGUGUAGGGGUCAACAUUUGACGUUUUCAAGUCUCGACUACGAGAUCUAAAGACCGUCAAGCCCGGGGUUCGAUUCCCCGCACCGGAG